GGGCGAACGCUGGCGGCAGGCUUAACACAUGCAAGUCGAGCGGGCGUAGCAAUACGUCAGCGGCAGACGGGUGAGUAACGCGUGGGAACGUACCUUUUGGUUCGGAACAACACAGGGAAACUUGUGCUAAUACCGGAUAAGCCCUUACGGGGGAAAGAUUUAUCGCCGAAAGAUCGGCCCGCGUCUGAUUAGCUAGUUGGUGAGGUAACGGCUCACCAAGGCGACGAUCAGUAGCUGGUCUGAGAGGAUGAUCAGCCACAUUGGGACUGAGACACGGCCCAAAACUCCUACGGGAGGCAGCAGUGGGGAAUAUUGGACAAUGGGCGCAAGCCUGAUCCAGCCAUGCCGCGUGAGUGAUGAAGG
rnacentral:rRNA from 1 species